AGCCAGAGGACGAUCGCGGGUGAGUAUGUCUGGGAACUGCCUGAUGGAGGGGGAUAACUACUGGAAACGGUAGCUAAUACCGCAUAACGUCGCAAGACCAAAGAGGGGGACCUUCGGGCCUCUUGCCAUCGGAUGUGCCCAGAUGGGAUUAGCUAGUAGGUGGGGUAACGGCUCACCUAGGCGACGAUCCCUAGCUGGUCUGAGAGGAUGACCCCCACACUGGAACUGAAACACGGUCCAUACUCCUACGGGAGGCAGCUCUGGGGAAUAUUGCACUUUGGGGGGGCUGGUGCAUGCCUCCCUGCCGCGUGUGGAAGAACGCCUUCGUGAUCCGUUACCCCUUCUACGAGCAAGACCGGUCUGGGCACAUCCGAUGGCAAGAGGCCCGAAGGUCCCCCUCUUUGGUCUUGCGACGUUUUGCGGUAUUAGCUACCGUUUCCCGUAGUUAUCCCCCUCCAUCAGGCAUUUUCCCAGACAUUACUCACCCGUCCGCCUCUCCUCAACAAAA
rnacentral:rRNA from 1 species